ensembl:snRNA U2 U2 spliceosomal RNA
AUCACUUCUCGGCCUUUUGGCUAAGAUCAAGUGUAGCAAAUGAUCCCAUCAUAUGUUGGCUGUAACCUAUCAUAGUACUAACAGCUUCCAUGCAUUUAAGUUGUAGGGGGAUUUUUCCUUUGUUAUUUGUCUUGGGGGCAUGGGAAGCAGUCUAUUUAUUUUGUUUCUUUUGCUUCAAUUUAUACUUAAGAUAAAAAUUACUUCUGAGUAAUUAAAUCUUUU